rnacentral:rRNA from 1 species
GACGAACGCUGGCGGCGUGCCUAACACAUGCAAGUCGAGCGGAGAUGAUGUGAGGAAGUUUUCGGAUGGAAUCACAUUAUUUUAGCGGCGGACGGGUGAGUAACGCGUGAGCGACCAACCUUGCACAGGGGGAUAACGGACCGAAAGGUUCACUAAUACCGCAUGAGACCACGGUGUUGCAUGACACAGAAGUCAAAGGAGAGAUCCGGUGCAAGACGGGCUCGCGUUCGAUUAGGUAGUUGGAGGGGUAACGGGCCACCAAGCCUAUGAUCGGUAGCCGACCUGAGAGGGUGAUCGGCCACAUUGGAACUGAGAUACGGUCCAAACUCCUACGGGAGGCAGCAGUGGGGAAUAUUGGGCAAUGGGGGAAACCCUGACCCAGCAACGCCGCGUGAAGGAAGAAGGUUUUCGGAUUGUAAACUUCUGUCCUUGGUGAAGAGAAGAAGACGGUAGCCAAGGAGGAAGCCCCGGCUAACUACGUGCCAGCAGCCGCCGUAA